CCUACGGGUGGCAGCAGUGAGGAAUAUUGGUCAAUGGCCGAGAGGCUGAACCAGCCAAGUCGCGUGAGUGAAGACGGCCCUACGGGUUGUAAACCUCUUUGGUCGGGGAGCAAAGCGAGUCACGUGUGACUCAUUGAGAGUACGCGAAGAAAAAGCAUCGGCUAACUCCGUGACAGCAGCCGCGGUAAUACGGAGGAUGCGAGGGUUAUCCUGAUUGAUUGGGGUGAGGGGGUGGGCAGGCGGAGGUGCAAGUCAGCGGUCAAAUUGCGGGGCUCAACCCCGUACUGCCGUUGAAACUGAGUGCCUUGAGUGCGGUAGAAGUAUGCGGAAUGCGUGGUGUAGCGGUGAAAUGCAUAGAUAUCACGAAGAACUCCGAUUGCGAAGGCAGCAUACCGGCGCGCAACUGACGCUCAUGCACGAAAGCGUGGGUAUCGAACAGGAUUAGAUACCCGUGUAGUC
rnacentral:rRNA from 1 species